rnacentral:rRNA from 1 species
UGAGGAAUAUUGGACAAUGGAUGGAAAUCUGAUCCAGCCAUGCCGCGUGCAGGAAGACGGCCCUAUGGGUUGUAAACUGCUUUUGUAUGGGAGCAAUAAGGUCUAUGCGUAGACUGAUGAGAGUACCAUACGAAUAAGCAUCGGCUCACUCCGUGCCAGCAGCCGCGGUAAUACGGGGGAUGCAAGCGUUAUCCGGCUUUGUUGGGUUUAAGGGUGCGUAGGCGGUUUUAUAAGUCAGCGGUGAAAUAUUUCAGCUUAACUGAAAGGGUGCCGUUGAUACUGUCAGGCUUGAAUAUGGUUGCUGUGGGUGGAAUGUGUGGUGUAGCGGUGAAAUGCUUAGAUAUCACACAGAAUAUCGAUUGCGAAGGCAGCUCACAAAGCCAUUAUUGACGCUGAUGCACGAAAGUGUGGGGAUCAAACA